AUGAAUGCUUAUGAGCCUGCUGCUGCCAACCACCGCUCAGACUGCUCUAUCAAGUAUCAAAUCAUAGACUUAAUUAUAAUAUAAUAAACACAGAGAAAUACGAGCCUUAGGUCAUUAAUAUGGUCAAGUCCGGAAACUAUAACGAAAACAUAACAUUUAUUCUUUCAGUGAAAUAUGCCGAUUAAUCGGUCUACCUCUAUUUGAGACCACUAAUUAGGCAAUCAUUUUGAUAACUGGUAUGGGGUAUCCUGCUCAUAUAGACAGGGUUUGAAAUCUAAAAACAGCGCUAACUGUUUUUUUCAUCUUGUCUGUCUCGUCCUCUGUGUGUCCAUGUUUGUGUUUUCUGUGAGUGUGUAUGAUUGAAAGAGCAGGAACCAUGGGAGCACACGGGAGCAAAGGACACAGCAUUUUCCAUCCCCCAACGGGUGCCCUGAAGGGAAAGCCCCGUUAAAAUAUGGUAGUACAGACUGAGAAAGAAGGGAACACAGACAGAUGAGACAGUAAGGAAGAAUAGGCAAGAGAC